rnacentral:rRNA from 1 species
CAGCCGCCGCGGUAAUACCGAGGGUGCGAGCGUUAAUCGGAUUUACUGGGCGUAAAGCGUGCGUAGGCGGCUUUUUAAGUCGGAUGUGAAAUCCCUGAGCUUAACUUAGGAAUUGCAUUCGAUACUGGGAAGCUAGAGUAUGGGAGAGGAUGGUAGAAUUCCAGGUGUAGCGGUGAAAUGCGUAGAGAUCUGGAGGAAUACCGAUGGCGAAGGCAGCCAUCUGGCCUAAUACUGACGCUGAGGUACGAAAGCAUGGGGAGCAAACAGGAUUAGAUACCCGAGUAGUCCCUGUCUCUUAUAC